CCUCUGUCAGGAUGGUCUUGCCGAAAAAUGCCUCUUCACUGGGAAGGUACGACAUAGCCUUCACCUGCAUCGCUAUGACUCUGGCCACUCCCUGCCUGACACCACCAAGUGUCUGGGCCCCGACUGGCCAACAUUCUGUAUUGAUUGCAAUGCGUUUCUCCUCCUCAGACUGGCUUGGAAAGUCGAAUGGCGGAUUCUUUAUCUGCUGAGCCAUCAGCCGAGAUGUCUGCUGAGCAGAAUCAUUUUCUUCUGCCAUGUGGAUUGAAAUCCAGCUCAGUGGUGUUAGGAUGGCUAUUAUAAAAAAAUAAAUAAAUAAAAGACAACACGUGCUGACGUGAAGAAGUUGGAAUACUUAAAUCCUGUCGGUGGGAAUGCAAAAUGGUGUGGCACUACAGAAAACAGCAUGGAAAAUUCCUCCAAAAAUUGCAAAUAGACCUAUCAUAUGAUUCAUCAGUCCUACUUCUGGAUACUUUCCCAAAUGAGUUGAAAUCAGGACCUCAGGGAGAUGCUAGUCAUAAGAGCCAAGAUGUGAAAAGAACCUCACUGUCCCCUGAUGGAUGAAUGGAUAAAGAAAAUGUGAUAGAUACGUGCAAUGGCAUAUUAAUUGAUUUUAAGAAAGAAGGAAAUUCUGCAAUAUGCAACAGCAUGGAUGAGCCUUGAGAACAUUAUGCUAAGUGAAAUAAGCCAGUCACAAAAGGAAAAAUACUUCCUCAUUCCACUUAUGUCUAAAAUAUUUAAAUUCAUAGAAAUACAGAAUAGAAAGACCUAAGUUUUUCUUCCUUCCCCUUCUUACACAAAUGGUGGUGCACAAUAUAUUCUAUAUAAUGUAGCUUUCUGUUCUUCACUUAAUAAUUC
ensembl:lncRNA